UGGGGAAUUUUGGACAAUGGGCGAAAGCCUGAUCCAGCAAUGCCGCGUGUGUGAAGAAGGCCUUCGGGUUGUAAAGCACUUUUGUCCGGAAAGAAAUGGCUCUGGUUAAUACCUGGGGUCGAUGACGGUACCGGAAGAAUAAGGAUCGGCUAACUACGUGCCAGCAGCCGCGGUAAUACGUAGGGUCCAAGCGUUAAUCGGAAUUACUGGGCGUAAAGCGUGCGCAGGCGGUUGUGCAAGACCGAUGUGAAAUCCCCGAGCUUAACUUGGGAAUUGCAUUGGUGACUGCACGGCUAGAGUGUGUCAGAGGGGGGUAGAAUUCCACGUGUAGCAGUGAAAUGCGUAGAGAUGUGGAGGAAUACCGAUGGCGAAGGCAGCCCCCUGGGAUAACACUGACGCUCAUGCACGAAAGCGUGGGGAGCAAACAGG
rnacentral:rRNA from 1 species